rnacentral:rRNA from 1 species
GAUGAACGCUGACAGAAUGCUUAACACAUGCAAGUCUUUGGCGAAGCUGUGCUUGCACAGCCUAGCCAAGGCGGACGGGUGAGUAACGCGUAAGGAACUUGCCCUGCAGUCAGGGAUAACAGACGGAAACGACUGAUAAGACCUGGUAAAGUCAGGCGGACUCAUGUCCAGCCUGAUGAAAAGAGAUGCUGCAGGAGAGCCUUGCGUCCUAUUAGCUUGUUGGUGGGGUAACGGCCCACCAAGGCAAUGAUAGGUAGCCGGCCUGAGAGGGUGGACGGCCACAAGGGGACUGAGAUACGGCCCUUACUCCUACGGGAGGCAGCAGUGGGGAAUAUUGGACAAUGGGGGCAACCCUGAUCCAGCAAUUCUGUGUGCACGAUGAAGGUUUUCGGAUUGUAAAGUGCUUUCAGCAGGGAAGAAAAAAAUGACGGUACCUGCAGAAGAAGCGACGGCUAAAUACGUG